UCGGAAUCUGGGAGGACCAUCUCCUAAGGCUAAAUACUCUCUAGUGACCGAUAGUGAACCAGUACCGUGAGGGAAAGGUGAAAAGCACCCCGGAAGGGGAGUGAAAUAGAACCUGAAACCGUGUGCUUACAAGUAGUCAGAGCCCGUUAAUGGGUGAUGGCGUGCCUUUUGUAGAAUGAACCGGCGAGUUACGAUUUGAUGCAAGGUUAAGCAGUAAAUGUGGAGCCGUAGCGAAAGCGAGUCUGAAUAGGGCGUUUAGUAUUUGGUCGUAGACCCGAAACCAGGUGAUCUACCCUUGGUCAGGUUGAAGUUCAGGUAACACUGAAUGGAGGACCGAACCGACUUACGUUGAAAAGUGAGCGGAUGAACUGAGGGUAGCGGAGAAAUUCCAAUCGAACCUGGAGAUAGCUGGUUCUCUCCGAAAUAGCUUUAGGGCUAGCCUCAAGUGAUGAUUAUUGGAGGUAGAGCACUGUUUGGACGAGGGGCCCCUCUCGGGUUACCGAAUUCAGACAAACUCCGAAUGCCAAUUAAUUUAACUUGGGAGUCAGAACAUGGGUGAUAAGGUCCGUGUUCGAAAGGGAAACAGCCCAGACCACCAGCUAAGGUCCCAAAAUAUAUGUUAAGUGGAAAAGGAUGUGGCGUUGCCCAGACAACUAGGAUGUUGGCUUAGAAGCAGCCAUCAUUUAAAGAGUGCGUAAUAGCUCACUAGUCGAGUGACACUGCGCCGAAAAUGUACCGGGGCUAAACAUAUUACCGAAGCUGUGGAUUGUCCUUUGGACAAUGGUAGGAGAGCGUUCUAAGGGCGUUGAAGCAUGAUCGUAAGGACAUGUGGAGCGCUUAGAAGUGAGAAUGCCGGUGUGAGUAGCGAAAGACGGGUGAGAAUCCCGUCCACCGAUUGACUAAGGUUUCCAGAGGAAGGCUCGUCCGCUCUGGGUUAGUCGGGUCCUAAGCUGAGGCCGACAGGCGUAGGCGAUGGAUAACAGGUUGAUAUUCCUGUACCACCUAUAAUCGUUUUAAUCGAUGGGGGGACGCAGUAGGAUAGGCGAAGCGUGCGAUUGGAUUGCACGUCUAAGCAGUAAGGCUGAGUAUUAGGCAAAUCCGGUACUCGUUAAGGCUGAGCUGUGAUGGGGAGAAGACAUUGUGUCUUCGAGUCGUUGAUUUCACACUGCCGAGAAAAGCCUCUAGAUAGAAAAUAGGUGCCCGUACCGCAAACCGACACAGGUAGUCAAGAUGAGAAUUCUAAGGUGAGCGAGCGAACUCUCGUUAAGGAACUCGGCAAAAUGACCCCGUAACUUCGGGAGAAGGGGUGCUCUUUAGGGUUAACGCCCAGAAGAGCCGCAGUGAAUAGGCCCAAGCGACUGUUUAUCAAAAACACAGGUCUCUGCUAAACCGUAAGGUGAUGUAUAGGGGCUGACGCCUGCCCGGUGCUGGAAGGUUAAGAGGAGUGGUUAGCUUCUGCGAAGCUACGAAUCGAAGCCCCAGUAAACGGCGGCCGUAACUAUAACGGUCCUAAGGUAGCGAAAUUCCUUGUCGGGUAAGUUCCGACCCGCACGAAAGGCGUAACGAUUUGGGCACUGUCUCAACGAGAGACUCGGUGAAAUCAUAGUACCUGUGAAGAUGCAGGUUACCCGCGACAGGACGGAAAGACCCCGUGGAGCUUUACUGUAGCCUGAUAUUGAAAUUCGGCACAGCUUGUACAGGAUAGGUAGGAGCCUUUGAAACGUGAGCGCUAGCUUACGUGGAGGCGCUGGUGGGAUACUACCCUAGCUGUGUUGGCUUUCUAACCCGCACCACUUAUCGUGGUGGGAGACAGUGUCAGGCGGGCAGUUUGACUGGGGCGGUCGCCUCCUAAAAGGUAACGGAGGCGCUCAAAGGUUCCCUCAGAAUGGUUGGAAAUCAUUCAUAGAGUGUAAAGGCAUAAGGGAGCUUGACUGCGAGACCUACAAGUCGAGCAGGGUCGAAAGACGGACUUAGUGAUCCGGUGGUUCCGCAUGGAAGGGCCAUCGCUCAACGGAUAAAAGCUACCCCGGGGAUAACAGGCUUAUCUCCCCCAAGAGUUCACAUCGACGGGGAGGUUUGGCACCUCGAUGUCGGCUCAUCGCAUCCUGGGGCUGUAGUCGGUCCCAAGGGUUGGGCUGUUCGCCCAUUAAAGCGGUACGCGAGCUGGGUUCAGAACGUCGUGAGACAGUUCGGUCCCUAUCCGUCGUGGGCGUAGGAAAUUUGAGAGGAGCUGUCCUUAGUACGAGAGGACCGGGAUGGACAUACCUCUGGUGUACCAGUUGUCGUGCCAACGGCAUAGCUGGGUAGCUAUGUGUGGACGGGAUAAGUGCUGAAAGCAUCUAAGCAUGAAGCCCCCCUCAAGAUGAGAUUUCCCAACUUCGGUUAUAAGAUCCCUCAAAGAUGAUGAGGUUAAUAGGUUCGAGGUGGAAGCAUGGUGACAUGUGGAGCUGACGAAUACUAA
rnacentral:rRNA from 1 species